AACGAACGCUGGCGGCAUGCCUAACACAUGCAAGUCGAACGAGACCUUCGGGUCUAGUGGCGCACGGGUGCGUAACGCGUGGGAACCUGCCCUUAGGUUCGGAAUAACUCCCCGAAAGGGGUGCUAAUACCGGAUAAUGUCUUCGGACCAAAGAUUUAUCGCCGUUGGAUGGGCCCGGGUUGGAUUAGCUAGUUGGUAGGGUAAAAGCCUACCAAGGCGACGAUCCAUAGCUGGUCUGAGAGGAUGAUCAGCCACACUGGGACUGAGACACGGCCCAGACUCCUACGGGAGGCAGGAGUGGGGAAUAUUGGACGAUGGGCGAAAGCCUGAUCCAGCAAGGCCGCGUGAGUGAUGAAGGCCUUAGGGUUGUAAAGCUCUUUUACCCGGGAUGAUAAUGACAGUACCGGGAGAAUAAGCUCCGGCUAACUCCGUG
rnacentral:rRNA from 1 species